rnacentral:misc_RNA from 1 species
AAAGUCGUAACAAGGUUUCCGUAGGUGAACCUGCGGAAGGAUCAUUAAAGAUUCGACCUUCGGGUCUAUCUUCUCUUCAGCUGUGCGCUUCGGCUGCACGCUGUUGAACUUCACACACCUGUGCACACUUCGGUUGUGGCUGGUUAACUCUAGUCACUUCCGCUUUUACAUUUAACUACCAAGUCUAGAAUGUCAAAUACAAUAAAAAUAACAACUUUUAACAACGGAUCUCUUGGCUCUC